rnacentral:rRNA from 1 species
AUGAACGCUAGCGGCAGGCUUAACACAUGCAAGUCGAGGGGUAUAGUAGCAAUACUAGAGACCGGCGCACGGGUGCGUAACGCGUAUGCAAUCUACCUUUUGCAGGGGAAUAGCCCAGAGAAAUUUGGAUUAAUGCCCCAUAGUAUAGUGACUCGGCAUCGAGAUACUAUUAAAGUUACAACGGCAAAAGAUGAGCAUGCGUCCCAUUAGCUAGUUGGUAAGGUAACGGCUUACCAAGGCGACGAUGGGUAGGGGUCCUGAGAGGGAGAUCCCCCACACUGGUACUGAGACACGGACCAGACUCCUACGGGAGGCAGCAGUGAGGAAUAUUGGACAAUGGGCGCAAGCCUGAUCCAGCCAUGCCGCGUGCAGGAUGAAGCAUCUAUGGUGUGUAAACUGCUUUUGUACGAGAAGAAACACUGCAACGUGUUGCAGCUUGACGGUAUCGUAAGAAUAAGGAUCGGCUAACUCCGUG